rnacentral:lncRNA from 1 species
CUCAUAACUGCCUGAAAGGAAGGAUCCAUUGAUUAGAAGCUCCGUGGCAAGCCAACACGGCUGACUGCGCCCAUCGCAUUCUGCCCGCAGGGCCACCUGUCCGAACCCCAAGUGGCGCGAGCUAGGCGGGGCUGGGGAGACGGCGCAAGAAGUUGCUCUGAGGAGGGACACAGGUGGCUGAGGACAACCGGGAGGAUUGCCAUUCUAGGGUAGGACGUGGCUGAGCCCAGCACGCGGACUCUCGCAAGGCCAUUCACUCAUGGGCAAAAGCCAACCCGCCGCCAGUGUCAGGAGCGCCCCGCUGCGGACUCGCAAGGAUUUUGCUCGCUCCCAGUACUGGGAGGUGAGCGGCGCUCUGCCAGCUGGGGCGGGACGGUCCCCAUCCGCUGCGCUGAGGGGCGCGUCUUACCUGUUGAUCUUGAGUGCAAACGCGCGGCGCUCUGCGCUAGGCAGCGUGGCCAUGGCCAGUCGGAGGCCCGGCGGCCUCUAGGGUCGUGGGCUACGAAGAGUAGAGACCCGGCGCUCCGCAGAGCUGCUGCAGCGCAUGCCGAGUCAGACGCGAGCCUCAUCUGUCAGUCCGGGAGGGAAACUUCCGCAUUUCCACCUUCGUCGCUGAAAUCACCCGGGGGGAGGGCCCAACCUCAGGGCUGAGGCGGCCAGCCCAGCCACCGCCGCCAGGCGCAGCCACUCGCCCGGCGUGGCAUGCAGGAGCAGCGGGAGACCGGGGUGUGGACGCCACGAGGAACGGCCUCCGGAUACUCAAACCGACGCGCGCUCUUCCCAGCGGCCGGACCUCAGGCACAGGGGAGUCGGGCGGAUGACCCGGCGACCACGGAGCGCAGGCCGGAAACUCCAUCUGCCCGGAGCGGCGAGGCUGCCAGGGAAUGUGGGCAAGCGGGGGGAGCCCGUGCCUUCCUCCCGCCGCGGAAAGUUGGCGAGGUCGGGAACCAACCCUGGGACUCUGUAGGGUAGACCUUAUUAAGGGUGGACACCAUUCCUGGGAGAAGACAGUUAAAAAAAAAAAAAGUGUAAUCUCUUAGGAAAGUAAACAGCUUUUGCAAGCCAUAGCUCGUCAUUCAUCCCGGGGCACUUUAAUGAAUAUAAUGGAUCCAUACAAGACGUAAAUAUUAGGAGUCAUAAAACACCUUUUUUCUUUCUCUUUUUUUUUUUUUCCACCCUGGGAUAACAUUAAUCUCAGCAUCCCUGUGAUUCAGGAUUACCGUGCAUCCCCGUUUAUUUUGAUUUCAGACUGAAAUAUCUUCUGAGAAACCCAGUCCUGAACUCAAGGAAGACAUCAGAAAAGUCCCAAUGACCAAAGUGGGAAAGCCCAUGCUUGUUUCAAGUUACUCCAAGUUGUACUAUACUAGUGCCCUCUCUAUUUGUCAACUUGCUCUUGAAAAAUAGUAAUGCAAUACAUUUUUGGUUCAAAAGUGUACAGUCCAAAUACGGUAGCCACAAGCCAUAAUUAACCACUAACUGCUUGAAAUUACAGUUUGUCCAAUUGAAGUAGGCUAGAAAAUAAAUACAUAUUAGAUUUUGGAGAUAGUAAGGAAAAAUAAUGCAAAAUAUCUU